AGCUUUGCGCAGUGGCAGUAUCGUAGCCAAUGAGGUUUAUCCGAGGCGCGAUUAUUGCUAAUUGAAAACUUUUCCCAUACCACAUCUCAGAUGAACAUUUAGAUGUGACCACUUAACUUUUAAUUACUAUUUUUCAAUU
rnacentral:snRNA from 1 species